UGUCUUCGGGGCGGGGUGCAAGUCCCCACCGGUGGUAAAGCCCACGAGCAAGGUUUUUCCUUCGCUGAAUUGGUGAGAUUCCAAUGCCGACGGUAUAGUCCGGAUGAAAGAAGAU
rnacentral:ncRNA from 1 species